UACGUAGGUGGCAAGCGUUGUCCGGAAUUAUUGGGCGUAAAGCGCGCGCAGGCGGUUUCUUAAGUCUGGUGUGAAAGCCCACGGCUCAACCGUGGAGGGUCAUUGGAAACUGGGAAACUUGAGUGCAGAAGAGAAGAGCGGAAUUCCACGUGUAGCGGUGAAAUGCGUAGAGAUGUGGAGGAACACCAGUGGCGAAGGCGGCUCUUUGGUCUGUGAACUGACGCUUGAGGCGCGAAAGCGUGGGGGAGCGAACCGGA
rnacentral:rRNA from 1 species